AAAGUACUCCCUCCGUUCCAAAAUUCUUGUCUUAGAUUUGUCUAGAUACAGAUGUAUCAAGUCACAUUUUAGUAUUAUAUACAUCCGUAUCUAGACAAAUCUAAGACAAGAAAUUUGGGACAGAGGGAGUAGUUG
rnacentral:pre_miRNA from 1 species